AACGAACGCUGGCGGCAUGCCUAACACAUGCAAGUCGAACGGGAUCCGGACUUCGGUUCGGUGAGAGUGGCGGACGGGUGAGUAACGCGUGGGAACCUGCCCAGUGGUGGGGGAUAACUGCGGGAAACUGCAGCUAAUACCGCAUGAGCCCCGAGUGUAACAGCUUGGGGGAAAGAUUUAUCGCCAUUGGAGGGGCCCGCGUUCGAUUAGGUAGUUGGUGAGGUAAUGGCUCACCAAGCCGACGAUCGUUAGCUGGUCUGAGAGGAUGAUCAGCCACACUGGGACUGAGAUACGGCCCAGACUCCUACGGGAGGCAGCAGGUGGGGAAUAUUGGACAAGUGGGGACAACCCUGAUCCAGCAAUGCCGCGUGAGUGA
rnacentral:rRNA from 1 species